GGGUGACUAGUCUAGUGGUCAGGACGUUUCGUUGUGGUUUCCAAACAAGAUCCUCCAACCUUUCCGAAGAAACCCCGGUUCGAUUCCGGGGUCGCCCA